UACACGUACUGCAUCUGCUAUCAAGGUGCUAAAUCACGUCAUGCAAAAUGUAAGAUGAAUUUCUAUAUGGAGCAGGCCUAGAGAACAUUGUUAUAAUUAAAAUUUGCUUCAGGCUUCACUAGCAUUUCAGGUACAAUUAUGUUAGAAAACUUUUUUUUCCCCAACAGCACUUAAAAUGUUGUAUAAUAGUCAAGCGAGAUGAUGUGCAAGGCGGGCAAGCUUUCUUUGAAUCAGUGUCAGGAAAGUAUAUAUUUUUUUGGAAAUCUUCUACUCUUAGAUCCGCACCGUUGAUUGCUUUAGAUAGAAAAGAAAUCCACAGCCCUGAAUAUCCACUUAGCUGAGCCACUGAAAGGCAAUGGCCCAAUACAAAUAUUCUAAUAAAAGAUGAAAUUAAGGAGGACCCAAUAAGAAGCAAAGAUCAAAUGGAAAAUGUUCUUUCCAAAAUGAAACGCUUAGUCCAGGGAAGCCUCCGGUGUCAAGCCUUGAACCUGAGAAGCACUUGUCUCUAAGAUCUCGACCUCCUGCAUGAGCGCGUCUGUUACUCUCUGUGUGGCUUCAUGUGAUAUGUACUUCUCAAGCUUGGAGAAAGAAAAUGAAUUGCAGCCUGGACGGCAGGGCUGUCUGAGGACAACAUUUGAUUCAUCUGUGCUCCUUCUCCCCCCAGGCUGCUAUAAUCUAACUUCCUCUUUCCUGCCCUAUGUCCCAAGAUCAUGCUGCCUUGUGUGGGUCAUGCAGUGUGUCCCAUGAGAUACACUCCCCCUUACCACCCUGUCAGUCACAAUGCAACUCAUAUUCCUCGUUUGCUCAAAGUAUCACCAACUAGUAACAAGUGAGUCCUGUUAUUCAUUGACAGUAUAGCUAAUUCCUCUUAAUUAAUGUAUUAUUAUAGGAGAAAGGAGUGGCUAAACUGGAAAUCAUAUCAAGAGGUGGGAUUAACCAGUGGGAAAGGAAGCACUGGCUCAAACUGAUCCAUUCUUGUCCCAGACUUCUAGGUGAAGAGGAAGAAUCUCUAAUGUUUAAGGAUAUUGAGCGGGUAACUUUAUGCCAAACCCUGUGUUUGUUGCUUUCACAUGCAUUGUCUCUUUGAGCCCUUCCAAGAACAAGUGGAGAAACAAGCCAGGGGGUUUCAGCAUCUUUCCCAGGCGGGAUUCAAACCCACGUAUGAGAAGAUCUGAGACCAAGAGUAGUUUCGAGCACAAAAAACACAGCAAGAUCUGGAACUCCUACUUCUUCACACUUUCCUGCACAUACCAGAGCAGCCCGUGAUCGAUAGAAUUUCAUGAAGAACGUAAGCCACCGACCAAGGAGGACACAUGUUUAGGUGGGAGAUCUCCUUUCUGGAAAACCAACCAGUUCAAGAGAGGAGACCACCAGACAAUGCCAUUUAGGCAUCCUCCAAUGAUAUGUCCUACUCAUCAGGUCACCCAGCACUGGAGACCUUCACAGAACAAGCCGCAUUCCUACUUAAGUGUCAUGGUGGCAAUGUUCUUUCCAUGAUGGAGAAAACAGCAGUUUUGCGUGACAUUGGUGAUUGGUCACGAGGUCCACAUCGCCAGCACGCCUAACCACUUUGAAAACCUGCACCUUCUGUCCCCAGUCCCCGAAUCCCAUCAUCAAGGCUCUCAACCCGUUCUGCAAAUUCUCACCAAAGGUGCAGAUUCUUCUUUUUGGCUCGUACCUCCAUUUUAUGCCCCUGGAAGUGUAGUAGAUAUUCAGGGCACACAGGACAUCUUCAAUUCCCUUCAUCAUCAACACUCUUGUCAAAGAGAAGCUUCUACUAACCUCUGCUGUGUAUACAUGCUGCUACUUGCAUUCGGAAAACACUGCCCCCCCCCCCUUUCUGGGCCUGGCCAACUACUCGAGGUCCCCAGGCAGGGAUGAGAGAAUUCCGGUUGCUGCCUUCUUCAGACAGAAGCCAUGUAUUAACCCUUCAGCCAGAAAUCAACAAGAAGUUCUGGUUUCACAUGUAAAUUUCAACUUCACCGAGAUGGUCUUGAGAACACACAGAAAAGACUGCAGCCAAGGGCUCCAGAUGGCCUGGGGCAGCUUGAGGCGUAUGUGGAUCAAGGGCACCCCUCGUCAUGGAGUGGCCGAAUCUUUGGCGUGGGGACGGGCAGAAAACAAGCUUCACCUGCUUCCUGCCUGGUGUGUGGUCAGUGCCUGAGGACUGUGGACCAUUUGAGCUUUAUUUAGUGACCGGGAUGACUCAUUCCCCAAAUCGCAGAAAUACGGGUUUUCCGUGGCAGUCAGCAUUUCUGGUUUCUGAUCCUGAGGAGAUUCCAUGGACAUUAACACUGGCCAGAAGAAAACCGUGCAGCACCAGGGGAGUGUGACUUCCCUUUCCUUACAGAGGGCAAGCGAUGCAAGUGAGGAUUUCAGUAUAACAAAGAGGAAAAAUUCUCCAUUUACCAAGAUGCCCCAAAGCCGUCUUCUGGGAAAACUGUCACAAAAACCUUACAUAGCUACAAUGACUUGAAGGUUCAUGACAAUGUCUGGGGAUGUCUGGUGCCCAACCUGAUGUGUGCAGUGAACCGUAGUCCCUGAUAGACACCACUGCAGACAUUAAAGAAAGUGACAGAAAAUCUUGGGAUGUCUGAGCCACUGCCAGACGGCGACAGAUCUUGCAAGACCUGCCUCCCCUCUCAUCUCUCAGGAACUCAGCUGAUUGAAGGAAGCCACCUGUUCCCAGGCCGCCGCCGCUCCCUGUAAUCAAGAAAUAACCACACUGGGGAGAAAUAGCUCUUUGUUGGUUCUGGUUAAACUGAACCAUUUCUUUUUUGCUUCAUGCUCAAGGAGACCUGCGACACCUAAUUUUAAGACUUUGCUAACCAGACACCCAUGUAGAGUAAAACCUUGGGUUGCGAGUAACGUGUUCUUCGAGUGUUCCGCGAGGCGAGCAAACCUUUCCAAUACAUUUUAACUUCAAAAACGAGCGAUGUCUUGCAAUGACUGGCCCCCAGGCCAGGCAGCCAGCCAAGAGCACCCUGUCCAAAGGGCUAAAAGUCAUAGGAGCUGAUAUGUAUUGAAUCCUACCUAAGUGCCAGGCACUGUCUUCUUGAAGCUGAAGAAUUUGUCUUCUCAACACAAAGGCCUUAUCAGCUGCUGGUUCCUCUCAGAGUACCUGUUCUGGGGCACACAGAGGGAGCUCGAGCCCUGAGAAGCUAAAUGAUCUUCCGGGAGAGGCAGGUGAUGUUACAAAAUAGGUGUUUGUGGUGGUUUGCUAACCAUCUCUCAGCCUUUGUAUGGCUUCCGGUGUUUUGACUUUGUACCGUGACUUUCUCAGCAGGGAGUCUGUUGACCCCCUCGGAACAUGGGCCAAACCUGUGUGUUAUUUUCAAUGGCGGAAAAAUGAUGCUGGGUGGGUUCCACAGUAGAGGCCUCAAGAUGCCUGGUGGCUUCUGCCUCUUCUGUCCACCCCUGUGGCUGAGGUGUCAGAAAUGCCUGGUCUGAAAAUGGAUAGGCCUCAAGAACUUGCUGGCCGGGAAACCUAGAAUGGCAGGGCUCAGCACCUCUCCAAAGAUAUGCUAAGGAACGAAGUGAAGGAGGUCGACUCAGAAGUCAGGGUGGUGGGGUGCCUGGGUGGCUGAGUCGGUUAAGCAUCCCACUCUUGAUUUUGGCUCAGGUCAUCAUCUCACGGUUCAUGAGAUUGAGCCCCUGCAUCAGGCUCUGCACUGAUGGUGUGGAGCCUGCUUGGGAUUCUCUCUCUCCCUCUCUCUGUCUCUGUCUCUCUCUCUUUCUCUCUGCCUCUCUCUUUCUCUCUCAAAAUCAAUAAAAUUAUCUUAAAAAAAAAAAAAAAAAAAAGAAAUUCAGGGUAGAGGUGGAAACGUUAUCCACUCAAAGGAAGACCGGCCUCCUGAUUGUCUUAUUCUCUCCAGUGGAGAGCUUUCUAGAAUGUGGUGUUGAUCAUGCUCCUCCCUUGGUUAAGAUGUUUUAAUCACCAGGGCUUAGGGCCGGAGUAUGGGUGGAAUCUUAUGUAAACAUAGCUAAAACAGUAAAAGUAUAAAUCACUUUCAACAAACUAAUGAACGAAAGCUAUCCUGUGAGACGUAUACCAUUAUGAUGACAAAAUAUCACCACAACAUGUAAAAUCAUGGUUUUCUAUAUGAAUAAAGUCAGAGAAAUAGUAAAACAGCUAAAUUAUAUUGUGAUGCAUGUCUGGGUAUUCUGACACAGUCUGAUUAUGUCAGGAUGAUUAAGAGAAUAAAGACACAUAAAACAUAUAGCUUGUUAUAUAUUUAUUCUAUAAUAUUCAUCUUAGCAAAAUCACUAAUUACAUUUUUUAAUCAAGAUUUUCACAUAAUGUAGGUUGUAGUGAUAGUAAAGAAUUGAAAUUUUAAAAGUGCACAAAAUUAAUUGUGGACAUAUUUUUAUGCAAGAUAUAUGGUAAAAUAAAUGUAAAAAAUGAAAAAUAAAAAUAAUUUUUCAUAUGUCUUUUCAAAAAAGGCUUUUGUCCAGAGGCACCCCAGUGGCUCAGUCGGUUAAGUGUCUGAUUUGGGCUCAGGUCAUGAUCUCGCCGUCUGUGAGUUCAAGCCCUGCGUCAGGCUCUGUGCUGACCGCUCGGAGCCUGGAGCCUACUUCAGAUUCUGUGUCUCCCUCUCUUUCUGCCCCUCCCCUGCUUGUACUCUCUCUCAAAAAUAAACAUUAAAUUUUUUUUUUAAAUGGCUUUUGUCCAAAAAGGUCAAAGUUAUCUGUGAAAUGAAAAGGCAAAGGCCAAAUUAUAAUGAAAGAAUAUCAAAAUAAGACAUUUUAAAAUAAAGCCUUUACCCUCAUGGACCAGGUUUGCCCGCAGGCAUUGCGGGAGGAGAGGCCACCAGGAGAAAAAGCGAAUCACAGAGUUGAAAGCCCCAAUCCUGCUAGACCCUGGAGGGAGGUCCAGACGCCCCAGUUGAGCACAGGGGUACCCAGGUGAACCCAAGCUCCAGUGGACCUGUCAGCUGAAUGCUCCCUCUUGAGAGAGCCCCGGCAAGAUGAGCAAAUCAGCCCCUGGCCAAUACACAGAAUCCUAAGAAAUAAUAACUCAUUAUUAGAAAUCUGAGACAGUAUUAUUUCUAUUUCCAAACAUGGAAGGAAAACAGACAAGAAAAAGAAAAAAAAAAAGGCUUGCCCAGUGCAAUGCUGUCACUUCCUGCAGGAGCUCUGGUUGUGAACAAAGUCUCCAUAAUCCUUUUCCCUUCCUGCUAUUUCUUAGAAAACUGCAGGGAAUCUUCGAGACAAUGAGGAAAACUGAAAUUAGGUAUGGAUUAUUGCCUUGGCCCAUAUCUGUCAGGUAAAGUUAAUCCUCAGUUUUCGAUGCUCUGACACUUGUAGAGCAGCAAAACAUUAGGAGCAAAGUUUUUAUUGGCACUGAGUUAAUGUAGGAAUAUGGACAUAUUGAACUAAAUAAGGUGACAAGAAAGAGUGCUUGGCAAAAUCUCUUGCACUAACAUAUGUAUUCUGUCAUUUUUUAUCCGCACGCAUAUAGACUUGACCGAAAAUUAGAACUCAUUAUAUCCAGGGAAACCAUGUGCUUCUGGUUCUGUAAAACUUAUUAUCUGAGGCAUCAUUAAUCAAACAUAUCAAAUUAACAGACACAUAUUUGUUGAGCUCAUACUGUGCAUGAAGCUCUGAGUCCAGGGCUGUAUCACAUUUUCCAGCUGAAAAACCAGUGUGGAUGUACUUGCGACUGGCUCACAUUUCUAGAACGAUGUGGAUAUUCCUCUCUGGUAGUGAUGGUGGGUGGAUGAAGACCUUGGAUUAAUUGUUGUGCACACUUGAGGGUCUGUGAAUCAUCGGUCAUCCAUAUAUCAAAUGAAACAUUUCUGCCGUAUAUAUUUUGCCCAGAAAUAUAUUUCUAAUAUCAUCCAUCCAUUUCAAAUAGAAAUAAGAAAGGGAAGCUAGUUUUUACCAUUUUUUUACACCCUUCAGUUGUUUGAAUACUUCUUUAUUGUGUACAUACAUUAUUUUUAUUGCAAAAUACGAAUUCACAAAAGGACACGUGCUCAGAAGUUAAUAUAUUUAAGACGACAUGUGUCUACCUUUUUAAUCAUUGCGGUGUGGACAUUUAUU